rnacentral:lncRNA from 1 species
CGGCACCGCCGCAUGCGAGGAGAGGCUCCAGCUGUGCGCUCUGCCCGCCAGCUGUGCGCGCUGCGGGCAGGGCCGGCCUCAGAGCAGUAAUCGACGAAGUGCCUUCGCAGACUUUUGCCAGCAGAUGUUAAUCAAUCAUUAUUUUUUAUACUGAAACUGAGACUUUGACUGUGCCAUGUCUAAGUGACCCAAAAACCUGGCUGCUUUGGAAACUGGAUAGUAUUGGCAAUCAAAGAAUAUAUGAGUGAUGUUUUGCACCUCAAGACUUCAUUCUGUAAGAUGUAUCGACCGGAUUGCCUACCUGUAACUCAGCUUUGUAAGCAGCCUCCCGAGGUUAGCCACGGUGGUAUUACAUGCCUUGUGCUUUGCCAGCCCCUACAAGCCAGCCAAAGUCUGUUAAAGCCUUCAGAGCACAAAACACUGAUAAGAUGGAUCACUAACAGGUAUGCAUCAGGGAUAAUGCAAAGGUGUUCCAUGUACAACAACCUAAAAUUAGCUGCUUUUGACUCAAAGCAGUAG